rnacentral:rRNA from 1 species
UACGUAGGUGGCAAGCGUUAUCCGGAAUUACUGGGUGUAAAGGGUGCGUAGGCGGGAUGUAAAGUCAGAUGUGAAAUCUCAAGGCUUAACCUUGAGACUGCAUUUGAAACUUAUGUUCUUGAGUGAGGUAGAGGCAAGCGGAAUUCCCAGUGUAGCGGUAAAAUGCGUAGAUAUUGGGAGGAACACCAGUGGCGAAGGCGGCUUGCUGGGCCUUAACUGACGCUGAUGCACGAAAGCAUGGGGAGCAAACAGG